AAUAUUUUGCCACCGGGUAGAGUAUACAAGGUGUUCUAGACAUUCCGAUAGGUCUUAGAAGGAAUGUUUUAGGACACCUUUUUAUUG
rnacentral:ncRNA from 1 species